ACUCCUACGGGAGGCAGCAGUGGGGAAUAUUGCACAAUGGGCGCAAGCCUGAUGCAGCGACGCCGCGUGGGAUGGACGGCCUCGGGUUGUAAACCUCUUUCAGUACCGACGAAGCGCAAAGUGACGGUAGGUACAGAAGAAGCACCGGCCAACUACGUGCCAGCAGCCGCGGUAAUACGUAGGGUGCGAGCGUUGUCCGGAAUUACUGGGCGUAAAGAGCUCGUAGGUGGUUUGUCGCGUUGUCCGUGAAAUCCCACGGCUUAACUGUGGGCGUGCGGGCGAUACGGGCAGACUGGAGUACUGCAGGGGAGACUGGAAUUCCUGGUGGUAGCGGUGGAAUGCGCAGAUAUCAGGAGGAACACCGGUGGCGAAGGCGGGUCUCUGGGCAGUAACUGACGCUGAGGAGCGAAAGCGUGGGGAGCGAAACAGGAUUAGAUACCCUGUAGGCUCUG
rnacentral:rRNA from 1 species